rnacentral:lncRNA from 1 species
AGGGUCAGCAUGUGCUAACUCAGCACCCCCUCCAUUGGAAUGGAUUGAAUGGGAAUCUCUUUCCCACAUUUAAGGUAUUCUUGUCAACAUUGCUUGGAUUCUUUUCAGUUCUUCUGCUCACAAGAACGGUGCACCAAUUGUUGUAGCCUUCAUUACCUAGGUUCAUCUACAUGUUGCUUAUUUAUAUUUAAUGCAAUUUUGGAAUCAUCAUAGCAGUUACCUCACUGGGUAGGGAACUUAUAGUCUCAGUCUAAGAUUUCCUCUAGUAUAUAUGUAGUUUAUAGUCCGAGACAGAAAAGAUUCUCUGUUUUCCUGCAUGGUAAAUGUCAAAUUAGUAUAUAGUAGUUCAAUGUAAAUGCCUUGUUUUGAAUUUAAUCCGUGCAAUUUACCUUAUAAACAUCCUAUGAUGUUUCCUCCAGGGAACAUCAAUAGAGAAGGGCUUGGAAGUUGACACCUCUUUAAAAUGGACGCAGCAAGGCCAAAAUACUUAUGGUGGGAGACCUACAGUGUGAUUCUUCUCUACCGCAGCAUCAUCAGGAUUCGGAAAUUCAGCAAUCACUAUCAACUGCACUUUGGAAGUGAAGCUUUAUCUUACCACCACUCACCAUCCCUGACCAACAUGAAUCUUUCACAUCAUUAUUGUAGUAGCUGAAAUUAGCUGGCCAGUAAAUGCAAAACAACCACCCAGAUAUCUUUCUUCCUUCGCUCAAGAUGAUACCAGUAGGGCAACAGAUUCGAUUACAACUAAUUGGGUUUAGUUUUGUUAGUUAGGAGAUGAGGCACUGAGUUUCUAAACAAGGCUAUGAAUCUUAUAACAAGAACUAUGUGAUUGCAAGCUGCUUAUUGGGCAUUUUCUUCUAUACUGCGUAAUACCGGUGCCUUGACAGUUGGGACUGUUAUGAUGAGAAUGUAUUUUUAUGGUUUUCAUUUUCAAAUAAUUUCUAUCUUUUAAUGGCUUCACAUUCUGUUAUUAAACCUUCUAAAGGAGGCUUCCUUGCUCAAAGUUGGUUCUUGAAAUUAGCAAGAACAGACUGGCAAAUUUUGGUCUCUUUUCAUUUCUGAAGCAUACUAGGUUGUCAUUGUAGCUCUUUGUUGAUAGAAAAUCAUACAAUAACUAUGCACUUUAGCCAUCUUGUCAAAACUUGUGUUCUUUGGCAGGAUUUAACCUUGUAACUUUGUGAUGUUGAUAAUUAUUCAUUUACUUGAUUGCUGCAGCUAACAAAAUCAGCCUAAAUGUACUUUUAAUGAGCUGCUUUCGCCCUACUCCAUUAAAUCAGACCAAUGAGUGAAUCACAUGAGGAUUAAAGGUUUUUCUUUAAUUUGGUGGAUUUGAAUGCAGGGAAAAAUAACUAAUGAGAGUGUUUUACGGUAUGAAACAGCUGUAACUCUUAUACAUUAAACUACAGGAAAGAUCAUGGUGCAAAAGUCGAGACAUAACAAAAUAAGUAAACUUGAAGUGUUGUUGGUGAAAGUUUGUCCAGUUGCUUUAAAGGGUAGUGGAAGUACUAUCAUCUGCAAUCCUCAGCUUUUGAUUUUAGAAUAAAAAGUAACAUGAAUUUUUCCCUUAUUUGUAAGUGUUAGCAAGUAGGGACGUAGUGUGGGCAGAAAAUGGCAAGCUAGUUACCCUUUCUCCUCAAUUAUUAGAAAGUGACUCUAUACAUUUUUUCCUGGACUGUAUGUCAAUUACCUCGACGCCUUUACAUCAGAAAUACUUUUCGCUUAUAAAAACUGCCUUGCUCAAAGUCUUCACGUCAUCACCAUAGUAGGCGACAGAUCAGUUAAAACAUCUUUUCGGCGGAAAAUUAUACUGCAUAUGUAAUAUCUUUAUUAAGAUUUUUGAUUUCAGCACUGGUCAGAUCAAUUGUUAUGAUCCUUGAUUGCCAGUUGGUUCUUUCCUUUCCUUCUGCAACAAAGUCUAGAGAGGAAGCCCCCACACUUUUGAUACUUUGAUUAGAGGCAGUGUUAAGGCUGUUUAUGGUAAAAAUCUUACGGUCUUAUGAAUAAUUUAGUGUAUUAAUCACCUAUCAACCAAACAUUCAACUAGAAAUUAUAAUUUAGUGUAUUAAUCACCUAUCAACCAAACAUUCAACUAGAAAUGUAAUAUGUAUGCACGUAUGACCAAACGACUAGAAUGUGUUAUAUAUAUAUAUAUAUAUAAAAAAAACUAGUUUCUGGACACGCACGUUGCGCGUGUAACCCUCAAGGAGAAAUGCACAAUUCCGGAAUUUAUAUAUGAAUGUUAAUCUCAUUUAAUGAACACGAUAAAGGAUGAAACCACACCCAACAGAAGUCCUCAAAACAUAAGCAGUGGAGAUGAUCCAUCAUGUGCUAUAUAAUUUUUAUUUAUGUUGGUACGUACAGCAUCUUAUUUGUUCAUUCCACUCGUGCCUUAUUAAUCUUUUGUGUGUAUGUUGGCUCAACAAUGUUGACAAAAUUGGAGGUGUUAGUCCUUAUACAUGUUCGACAACACAAAAGAAAAGGAUAAUUGGAAAAAAACACACUUAUUGAAAUACAUUCUUAACGUAAAAAUUCAACAGAGACCAACAAAAAUAUACUCAUAUGAAUUUUGUUGAUAAUGAAGAAAGCAAUAAGUUAAAAAAAAAAAAGAAAUAGAGAGAAAAAUGAACACAAGGCCGGGGAUGAAUGUGAGGUGCUCACAUGGUUCUUGGAUGGCUGAUACAGUUUUCUUCUAAAUGGAAAAGGAGAAAAUGCAUGUACAUGUUGGGAAUGUACGUAGAUGUUAGAAUCCCACACAAGGCAAUAGUAUUUCGUAAUGCUUAGAUAAUUUAAACUGAAUGCAAAAAGUUAACGCUAUCAUCUAGAUGCAUGAUACAAAUUUUCCAAGACAGAAAGCUUAAUAUAUAGGUCACAUGGAUCAAACUCAUUUUAAAAGCGUUAAAAAUUACAUACAAUAACUUCAAUUAGUGUCCAGUCACUAGCCUUUCAAAAGGGAAAUGUAUAGGCUGAAGAUGAAAUCGAAGACAUUCAAAAUAUCAGCCAUUAAUUUAAAAUAUUUUACCUGGUCGUUUAAGAGUUAAAAUAAUGAACUAUAUUAGUAGUAGUUAAGCAUAAUCUUAAGUGAAAAUGCAAGUUACCGGAAGCUUGGAAGGGCCAUCAAUCGAACACAUGCAACAGUUAAUUUAAAAAUAAAAUAAUAGCAGCAAAUUACCUCUGUCAUUACAACGUAAUUGGUGAAAUCAGAGCUUGAACCAGUCAACCACUCCCGAUCACACUAACAAUUUGUACUUUCGAGUAAUUAUUUCCCCAAAAUGCAAGAAAAUCAUGAAAAUCUCGAACCAAAUGAUAUAAGUUGAUACAGAGCUAAGGAGAAAAAAAUUGUAAAACCAGGUUUCAUUGCACUAACCAUCUGGCCUUUAAGUUUACACAAACCUGCAAGAGAAUGUAAAAGAAAUUAAAACAUAAGAAUGUUGAACCAAAUGAUUCGGUUGAUAUAUAUAUAGACCCAUAAGAUGAACAAUAAUAAAAACAUCUCUAUCCAACCGCUCUUUCUACGACGUAGCAUCCGUAUAAGUUAGCAAGUUAUCUGGUAAUUAAUUUGCAUCUCUAUCCAACGGCUCUUAAGGCAACAAAGAUAAAAACAUAAUCCCCUCUUCUGGGUGUGCAAACUUCAUAAACCUGCAUCAGACUCUUGAAGAAGUAACUGAGAAAAUCAUGUCUAACAUUAAUGUAAAGAAAAAACAAUUGACAUUCAUGUAUAUAUUGCAUACCUAAGAUGUCCAAUAAUGCUAUCUAUAUCUGUCCCCAUAAAUUGCAGCAUCACAAGGUCAAGGAUAUAAAAACUAAUAUCAAAAUAAGCUUAUCCAACUGUGCUUAUUUCUAUUGUUGUUUCCCGAGAUCAGGAGGCCAUGAGAAUAAAGAGGGCAGUAGGUGAAAUCCAAAGGACAAAAUAG